CCACGGUAGCAUUUGUUUGAUUAGUUUGGUCCAUUUAAUGUUCACAACGCCUCGAGCAAUAAAGAUAAAUGACGUCCACGGCGUUGCGAGCGUUAAGUGGACCAAAUUACGAACCAAACGCUACCAUGGUCACGAAACGAAAAAACGCCUAUAGACUUGGUUUACAUCGUGUACUUGAUACUAAAUAAAAUGGAAAAUAUCGAGGAUCAAUCCAGUAGCGUUACUUUGAUAAGAGCAAGAUGAAAAAUCAUAUAUUGGAAAUGAAAAAUGCAACAGCCGUGACAAAUCACGGAGUAAUAAAUAUAUAAAUAUAUAAACACUAAGAAAUAUCAAAAGAAGAAUAGGAGAUUGUUCUCUGACUAUAAAUGUUCUGCAAGCACAUGGUUUGCUGCGAAGCUGAAACAAGAAAAUGAAUUAAAGGAAAGAAUCGGUCCAACAAUAUUCGCAGUCACAGACAAUAUGUAG